AAGUAAUCCAAAACAUUUACAGCAAAAAAGUGACCUCAUUUCCGCAUUUAAGUAGAAAAAAGAAAAUACCCACAUAAAUAAAUAUUAAAAAAAAGGAAUUCAAGGUGGCAACAAAGAUACUCUUGGCAGUCAUGGGGUCAUCUGGUCACGGUCCUAAAUGGGAAGAUGGUGGCUGAACAAUUCCACCAUCUUCAAUCUUGAGCCCCCAGACUGAGCCUCGAGAUUCUCACAUUCUCACAAAAUAAUAAUAAAAUAAAACAAAAAUGAAAAUAAAGAAAUAGAUGAUUUUGCGUCUCUAAUUGUAUGGCCAAACUCUGGAAAUGUUGGAUUCUCCAAUGUUUUAAGCCAUUUUUCAUCAAAACUCAUUUUUUUUCUCUGCUUGCCCAUUUUCCUGAAAGUCCAGUAAGAGUACACACAGAUAUGAACAAUACUCUUUUCAUUGUAAUAUAUACUUGUCUUCUUUCUUCGCUGCAAAGCACAGUACAACAUCUGUAAAAUCCCAAAACCCAUUUCCAGGCAAGAAGAUGAUGACUAAUGACUCACUAACCCAGAAAGAAUUUUGGUUUCAUUAUAUGCAUACAAAUAUUAGAAGAUGUUUAUUUUAGUAAUAAUUGCCAUUUCUCAUGCCUGGUUGCUUUUUGUUAAUAAAUUAUAGCAAAUGGAAAUAUAAAGUUCACAUGUUUAUCCUUUCCAGGGCAAUGUAUGAUUUAACUGACUAAUAUGACUUUACAAUUCUCUCCUUGCUUUAGGAAUAUUUAUCUAGUGUUUGAUUCUCUGGUUCUUUUAGGAUAAUGGACUAUAUAUAAUAUUCCUAUAUAUAUAAUUCAUUUCUUUAACCUACCGACUCAUUGACAGGCGUGCUAGUUCCCUUUAUACAACCAAAAAACUGAUUCUUUUCUUGUGUCUGAGUCUGACAAAAGAUUUUGGUGAAUGGAUUUCUCGCAUGGAAAGCAAGAAGUGGGUUCUAAUCUAAGGAUUACGCUAAACAAAAUUGACCCAUUUUGAAAGUUGGUAACAGUGGUAGAGAAACAGUGUUAUAAUUAGCAGAAUUUGAGUAUUUGUUUGUUUCUCUGCUCCUUGCACAUUCCACUUCAAUGGCUCUAAGAAGAAGAGAAGUUGUCUUUUAUUUUUGCACUUUUUUAUGGUUUUGGACUGCUGCAAAUGGAUUGCUAUCUCCCAAAGGAGUAAACUUCGAAGUGCAAGCUUUAAUGGGAAUAAAAGCUUCUCUCCAUGAUCCUCACGGUGUUCUUGAUAAUUGGGAUGGGGAUGCUGUUGAUCCCUGUAGCUGGACUAUGGUCACUUGUUCUCCUGAGAGUCUUGUCAUUGGCCUGGGAACUCCUAGCCAGAAUUUAUCUGGUACUCUUUCUCCAAGUAUUGGCAACUUGACUAAUCUUCAAAUUGUGCUCUUACAGAACAACAAUAUCACAGGACCAAUUCCUGGAGAGUUGGGGAAGCUCUCAAAUCUCCAUACACUUGAUCUUUCUAACAACUUCUUCACUGGUGAAAUUCCUUCUUCUUUGGGCAAUCUGAGGAGUCUCCAAUACAUGAGGCUAAAUAACAACAGUCUCUCUGGAGCUUUCCCAAUGUCAUUGGCCAACAUGACCCUGCUUGUGUUUCUCGACUUGUCUUACAAUAAUCUCAGCGGCCCUGUAGCCAGAUUUCCUGCUAAGACAUUCAGCAUUGUUGGAAACCCUCUAAUCUGCCCAACUGGGUCUGAACCAGAAUGCUUCGGGACAGCACUAAUGCCAAUGUCCAUGAACUUGAAUGGCACACAAAGUAAGGAUACUGGACUAAACAUUUCUUUUUACCCCCCUUCCAUAAUUUGAUAUUAGAAGCGUUUGUUUGCUAUUUGGUUGAUUCUGACCUUAACCCCUUUGUAUCUUAAGCUGACUUACCUUCUGGCAGACCAAGGAAUCACAAAAUAGCCCUUGCUUUUGGCUCUAGUGUUGGUUCUGUCUCACUCAUCAUUCUUGUUCUUGGAUUACUUCUAUGGUGGCGGCAAAGGCAGGAUCAACCAACACUUUUCAAUGUCAAGGGUGUGUAAUAAUGAGGGUACUUCUUCACUUUAAUUAAUAUGAAAUGGCUUUUUACUCCCUCUGAUCAAUCACAUAUCUCUUUGAAAUAUCAGAACGACACCACGAGGAAGUUUCUCUUGGAAACUUAAGGAGAUUUCAAUUUAGAGAACUUCAGUCAGCAACAAACAACUUCAGCAACAAGAAUAUACUUGGAAAAGGAGGCUUUGGCAAUGUUUACAAAGGGAUUCUCCAAGAUGGGACUGUUGUUGCUGUCAAGAGGCUUAAAGAUGGCAAUGCUGUUGGAGGAGAUAUUCAAUUCCAAACUGAAGUGGAGAUGAUCAGCCUAGCAGUGCAUCGUAACCUCCUCAGGCUAUAUGGAUUUUGUAUCACGCCAACAGAAAGGCUUCUAGUCUACCCAUACAUGUCCAAUGGCAGCGUAGCUUCCCGUCUCAAGGGGAAACCAGUCUUGGAUUGGGGCACCAGGAAGAGAAUUGCAUUAGGAGCUGCAAGGGGACUGUUAUACCUCCAUGAGCAGUGUGAUCCAAAGAUAAUUCAUAGGGAUGUUAAGGCAGCAAAUAUAUUGCUUGAUGACUAUUGUGAGGCUGUAGUAGGAGAUUUUGGGUUAGCAAAGCUUUUGGAUCAUCAAGAUUCACACGUCACCACAGCUGUAAGGGGCACGGUUGGGCACAUAGCACCAGAAUAUCUUUCUACAGGCCAGUCCUCUGAGAAAACAGAUGUUUUUGGAUUUGGCAUCCUGCUUCUUGAAUUAAUCACAGGCCAAAGAGCACUAGAAUUUGGCAAGGCAGCUAACCAAAAAGGAGCCAUGCUGGACUGGGUAAAGAAAAUUCAUCAGGAGAAGAAGCUUGAAAUGCUUGUAGAUAAGGAUCUAAACGGUAACUAUGAUAGAAUUGAGCUUGAGGAGAUGGUACAAGUGGCUCUUUUGUGCACCCAAUUCCUCCCAAGCCAUAGACCAAAAAUGUCUGAAGUAGUUAGAAUGCUUGAAGGUGAUGGUCUUGCAGAAAGAUGGGAAGCUUCUCAAAGACUAGAAGCAACCAAAUCCAAACCCCACGAGUUCUCUUCAUCAGAUCGUUAUUCUGAUCUCACUGAUGACUCUUCAUUACUAGUCCAAGCAAUGGAGCUUUCUGGCCCAAGGUGAAUUCUUUACAGAUCAAAUUUAUAGGUGAAUUUGUUUUGUAAUAGUGUUAUGAUGAUUGAAGGUUCUUUUUUGGUUGUACAAUAGGGAUGUUAUCAAACUCCAAAGGGUUUAGAAGUUUUCAUUGAAUUGUACAGAUUAUGUUUUUUGUGAAACUGGCAAUUUUUUUCGACUGAAAAUUCAUGUAUUUGUAUUCCAAUUGAGUGACAAUCUUGAUAAGGAAUCCAGUUUAACUCGUGACCUUCAAUAUGCUAUCUAGAUUAAUAGGGUGUCCCAACUCACAAGGCUUUCUGCAGAGCAAGCUCUGGGGAUGCUCAAAUACAUGCAGAUUCGC
rnacentral:misc_RNA from 1 species